UGUCCUACCUGGCAGGCUGUGGCCUCCAGAGCUGCCCCAUGCUUGUGGCCAAAGGGUACCCAGACAUUGGCUGGAACCCCUGUGGUGGAGAGCGCUACCUGGACUUCCUGCGCUUUGCUGUCUUCGUCAACGCGAGAGCGUGGAGGAGAACGCCAAUGUGGUGGUGCGGCUGCUCAUCCGGAAGCCUGAGUGCUUCGGACCCGCCCUGCGGGGUGAGGGUGGCUCAGGGCUGCUGGCUGCCAUCGAAGAGGCCAUCCGCAUCUCCGAGGACCCUGCGAGGGAUGGCCCAGGCAUCCGCAGGGACCGGCGGCGCGAGCAUUUGGUGAGGAACCGCCUGAAGAAAACCGGGUGCACCUG
rnacentral:lncRNA from 1 species